AUUGAACGCUGGCGGCAGGCCUAACACAUGCAAGUCGAACGAGUGGCGGACGGGUGAGUAAUGUCUGGGAAACUGCCUGAUGGAGGGGGAUAACUACUGGAAACGGUAGCUAAUACCGCAUACCAUCGGAUGUACCCAGAUGGGCUUAGCUAGUAGGUGGGGUAAAGGCUCACCUAGGCGACGAUCCCUAGCUGGUCGGAGAGGAUGACCGGCACAACGGGAAUUGAGACACGGGCCAGACUCCACCGGAAGGCAUCAGUGGGGAUUAGUGCACAAUGGGCGCAAGCCUGAUGAGGCCAUGCCGGGUGUAGGAAUAAGGCCUUCGGGUUGUAAAGUACUUUCAGCGGGGAGGCGUUACCCGCAGAAGAAGCACCGGCUAACUCCGUGCCAGCAGCCGCGGUAAUAC
rnacentral:rRNA from 1 species